CAGCCCCUCGAGUGGUGGGGAUGAUUAUUUGGCCUAAAGCGUCCGUAGCCGGCCGUGUAAGUCUCCCGUUAAAUCCAGCGUCUCAAGCGUUGGACUGCGGGAGAUACUGCUCGGCUAGAGAGUGGGAGAGGUGUGCGGUAUUCUGGGGGUAGGGGCGAAAUCCUUUGAUCCCCGGAGGACCACCAGUGGCGAAGGCUGCACACUAGAACACGUCUGACGGUCAGGGGCGAAAGCUGGGGUAGCGAACCGGAUUAGAUACCCGAGUAGUCC
rnacentral:rRNA from 1 species